AAUCAUACAAGGACAAUUUCUUU
rnacentral:miRNA from 1 species